CCGACCGGCCACCGCCGCCGGCCAAGAUCGUGGAGCGUGCCCAGAGCUUCAGCCCGGUCGACGGUGUCGCCACGCAGCGGCAGAAGCCGGCACUACCAGAGCGUCCCGGCACACUGAGACGGAGCAGAAACUCUGGCGAGGCGUCGGCGCCGCCGCCGGAGCCUGCCCCGACCGUGGACGGCCCACC